rnacentral:rRNA from 1 species
UACGUAGGGGGCAAGCGUUGUCCGGAUUUAUUGGGCGUAAAGAGCGUGUAGGCGGCCAUACAGGUCAGCUGUGAAAACUCGAGGCUCAACCUCGAGACGUCGGUUGAAACCGUAUGGCUCGAGUCCGGAAGAGGAGAGUGGAAUUCCCGGUGUAGCGGUGAAAUGCGCAGAUAUCGGGAAGAACACCCGUGGCGAAGGCGGCUCUCUGGGACGGUACUGACGCUGAGACGCGAAAGCGUGGGGAGCGAACAGG